UACGAAGGGGGGCUAGCGUUGCUCGGAAUCACUGGGCGUAAAGGGUGCGUAGGCGGGUCUUUAAGUCAGGGGUGAAAUCCUGGAGCUCAACUCCAGAACUGCCUUCGAUACUGAGAAGCUCGAGUCCGGGAGAGGUGAGUGGAACUGCGAGUGUAGAGGUGAAAUUCGUAGAUAUUCGCAAGAACACCAGUGGCGAAGGCGGCUCACUGGCCCGGUACUGACGCUGAGGUGCGAAAGCGUGGGGAGCAAACAGG
rnacentral:rRNA from 1 species